UAGCUCAGUUGGUAGAGCAUGGCACUUGCAGUGCCAGGGUUGUCGGUUUGAUUCCCAC
rfam:Salmo salar isolate Sally breed double haploid chromosome ssa05, whole genome shotgun sequence.